AUUGCCUCAGUAACGGCGAGUGAAGCGGCAACAGCUCAAAUUUGAAAUCUGGCCCUAGGCCCGAGUUGUAAUUUGCAGAGGAUGCUUUUGGUGAGGUGCCUUCCGAGUCCCUUGGAACAGGGCGCCAUAGAGGGUGAGAGCCCCGUCUGGUUGGACACCGAACCUCUGUAAAGCUCCUUCGACGAGUCGAGUAGUUUGGGAAUGCUGCUCUAAAUGGGAGGUAUAUGUCUUCUAAAGCUAAAUACCGGCCAGAGACCGAUAGCGCACAAGUAGAGUGAUCGAAAGAUGAAAAGCACUUUGGAAAGAGAGUUAAACAGCACGUGAAAUUGUUGAAAGGGAAGCGUUUACGACCAGACUUAGGCCCGGUUGAUCAACCAGCGUUCUCGCUGGUGCACUCUCCCGGCCUAGGCCAGCAUCAGUUCGUCUCGGGGGAUAAAGGCGUCGGGAAUGUAGCUCCCUCGGGAGUGUUAUAGCCCUUCGUGCAAUACCCUGAGGUGGACUGAGGUUCGCGCUCUGCAAGGAUGCUGGCGUAAUGGUCGUCAACGACCCGUCUUGAAACACGGACCAAGGAGUCGUCUUCGUAUGCGAGUGUUCGGGUGUAAAACCCCUACGCGUAAUGAAAGUGAACGCAGGUGAGAGCUUCGGCGCAUCAUCGACCGAUCCUGAUGUUCUCGGAUGGAUUUGAGUAAGAGCAUACGGAGCCGGACCCGAAAGAAGGUGAACUAUGCCUGUAUAGGGUGAAGCCAGAGGAAACUCUGGUGGAGGCUCGCAGCGGUUCUGACGUGCAAAUCGAUCGUCAAAUAUGGGCAUGGGGGCGAAAGACUAAU
rnacentral:rRNA from 1 species